rnacentral:rRNA from 1 species
CCUACGGGAGGCAGCUGUGGGGAAUAUUGCACAAUGGGGGAAACCCUGAUGCAGCUACGCCGCGUGAGUGAAGAAGUAUUUCGGUAUGUAAAGCUCUAUCAUCAGGGAAGAAAAUGACGUUACCUGAUUCAGAAGCCUCGGCUAACUACGUGCCAGCAGCCGCGGUAAUACGUGGGGGGCAAGCGUUAUCCGGAUUUACUGUGUGUAAAGGCAGCGUAGACGGCAGCGCAAGUCGGAAGUGAAAUGCCGGGGCUUAACCCCGGAACUGCUUUGGAAAUUGUGCAACUAGAGUGCAGUAGAGGUAAGUGUAAUUCCUAGUGUAGCGGUGAAAUGCGAAGACAUUAGGAGGAACACAAGUGGCGACGGAGGCUUACUGGACUGUAACUGACGUUGAGGCUCGAAAGCGUGGGGAGAAAACAGAA